rnacentral:rRNA from 1 species
CAGUAGCCGCGGUAAUACGUAGGGUGCAAGCGUUAAUCGGAAUUACUGGGCGUAAAGCGUGCGCAGGCGGUUAUAUAAGACAGAUGUGAAAUCCCCGGGCUCAACCUGGGAACUGCAUUUGUGACUGUAUAGCUAGAGUACGGCAGAGGGGGAUGGAAUUCCGCGUGUAGCAGUGAAAUGCGUAGAUAUGCGGAGGAACACCGAUGGCGAAGGCAAUCCCCUGGGCCUGUACUGACGCUCAUGCACGAAAGCGUGGGGAGCAAACAGGAUUAGAUACCCCAGUAGUCCCUGUCUCUUAUAC